AGUCGAGCGGAUGAAGGGAGCUUGCUCCUGGAUUCAGCGGCGGACGGGUGAGUAAUGCCUAGGAAUCUGCCUGGUAGUGGGGGAUAACGUCCGGAAACGGGCGCUAAUACCGCAUACGUCCUGAGGGAGAAAGUGGGGGAUCUUCGGACCUCACGCUAUCAGAUGAGCCUAGGUCGGAUUAGCUAGUUGGUGGGGUAAAGGCCUACCAAGGCGACGAUCCGUAACUGGUCUGAGAGGAUGAUCAGUCACACUGGAACUGAGACACGGUCCAGACUCCUACGGGAGGCAGCAGUGGGGAAUAUUGGACAAUGGGCGAAAGCCUGAUCCAGCCAUGCCGCGUGUGUGAAGAAGGUCUUCGGAUUGUAAAGCACUUUAAGUUGGGAGGAAGGGCAGUAAGUUAAUACCUUGCUGUUUUGACGUUACCAACAGAAUAAGCACCGGCUAACUUCGUGCCAGCAGCCGCGGUAAUACGAAGGGUGCAAGCGUUAAUCGGAAUUACUGGGCGUAAAGCGCGCGUAGGUGGUUCAGCAAGUUGGAUGUGAAAUCCCCGGGCUCAACCUGGGAACUGCAUCCAAAACUACUGAGCUAGAGUACGGUAGAGGGUGGUGGAAUUUCCUGUGUAGCGGUGAAAUGCGUAGAUAUAGGAAGGAACACCAGUGGCGAAGGCGACCACCUGGACUGAUACUGACACUGAGGUGCGAAAGCGUGGGGAGCAAACAGGAUUAGAUACCCUGGUAGUCCACGCCGUAAACGAUGUCGACUAGCCGUUGGGAUCCUUGAGAUCUUAGUGGCGCAGCUAACGCGAUAAGUCGACCGCCUGGGGAGUACGGCCGCAAGGUUAAAACUCAAAUGAAUUGACGGGGGCCCGCACAAGCGGUGGAGCAUGUGGUUUAAUUCG
rnacentral:rRNA from 1 species